UCCUCAGUUGCCAUCAUUCAGUUGGGCACUCUGGGGAGACUGCCGGUGAUAAGCCGCGAGGAAGGUGUGGAUGACGUCAAGUCCUCAUGGCCCUUACGGGAUGGGCUACACACGUGCUACAAUGGCGGUGACAGUGGGACGCGAACCCGCGAGGGCAAGCAAAUCUCCAAAAGCCGUCUCAGUUCGGAUUGCACUCUGCAACUCGAGUGCAUGAAGGCGGAAUCGCUAGUAAUCGUGGAUCAGCAUGCCACGGUGAAUACGUUCCCGGGCCUUGUACACACCGCCCGUCACACCAUGGGAGUUGGUCUUACCCGACGGCGCUGCGCCGACCCGCAAGGGGAGCAGGCGACCACGGUAGGGUCAGCGACUGGGGUGAAAUCGUAACAAGGUA
rnacentral:rRNA from 1 species